rnacentral:rRNA from 2 species
GGAUGAACGCUGGCUGUGUGCCUAAUACAUGCAUGUCGAGCGGAGUAUUAAUUUAUUAGUGCUUAGCGGCAAAUGGGUGAGUAACACGUAUUUAACCUACCUCAAAGACUGGGAUAACAACAGGAAACUGUUGCUAAUACCGGAUAUGUAUUUAGAUCGCAUGAUUUAGAUAUCAAAGGAGCGUUUGCUUCACUUUGAAAUGGGAGUGCGUUACAUUAGCUAGUUGGUAGGGUAAUGGCCUACCAAGGCGAUGAUGUAUAGCUGAGUUGAGAGACUGAACAGCCACACUGGGACUGAGAUACGGCCCAGACUCCUACGGGAGGCAGCAGUAGGGAAUUUUCCACAAUGGACGAAAGUCUGAUGGAGUGACACAGCGUGCAGGAUGAAGGUCUUCGGAUUGUAAACUGCUGUUAUAAGGGAAGAAAAGCUUAGGGAGGAAAUGCCCUAAGUAUGACGGUACCUUGUCAGAAAGCACCGGCUAACUAUGUGCCAGCAGCCGCGGUAAUACAUAGGGUGCAAGCGUUAUCCGAAAUUAUUGGGUGUAAAGAGUUCGUAGGUUGUUUGUUAAGUCAGAAGUUAAAUCCCGGGGCUCAACCCUGGCCCGCUUUUGAUACUAGCAAACUAGAGUUAUAAAGAGGUUAGUGGAAUUCCUAGUGAAGCGGUGAAAUGUGUAGAUAUUAGGAAGAACAUCAAUGGCGAAGGCAGCUAACUGGUUAUGUACUGACACUGAGGAACGAAAGCGUGGGGAGCAAACAGGAUUAGAUACCCUGGUAGUCCACGCCGUAAACGAUGAUCAUUAGCUGGUGGAAUUUUUCACUAGCGCAGCUAACGCAUUAAAUGAUCCACCUGAGUAGUAUGCUCGCAAGAGUGAAACUUAAAGGAAUUGACGGGGACCCGCACAAGCGGUGGAGCAUGUGGUUUAAUUUGACGAUACGCGUAGAACCUUACCCACUCUUGACAUCCUUCGCAAAGCUAUAGAGAUAUAGUGGAGGUUAACGGAGUGACAGAUGGUGCAUGGUUGUCGUCAGCUCGUGUCGUGAGAUGUUCGGUUAAGUCCUGCAACGAGCGCAACCCCUAUCUUUAAUUACUACAUUAAGUUGAGGACUUUAAAGAUACUGACCAAGCAAUUGGUAGGAAGGUGGGGAUGACGUCAAAUCAUCAUGCCUCUUACGAGUGGGGCAACACACGUGCUACAAUGGCCGGUACAAAGAGAAGCAAGAUGGUGACAUGGAGCAAAUCUCAAAAAACCGGUCUCAGUUCGGAUUGAAGUCUGCAACUCGACUUCAUGAAGUUGGAAUCGCUAGUAAUCGUAGAUCAGCUACGCUACGGUGAAUACGUUCUCGGGUCUUGUACACACCGCCCGUCACACCAUGGGAGCUGGUAAUGCCCAAAGUCGGUUUAGCUAACCUCGGAGGCGACUGUCUAAGGCAGGACUGGUGACUGGGGUGAAGUCGUAACAAGGUAUCCCUACGAGAACGUGGGGAUGGAUCACCUCCUUUCUACGGAGUACAAAACCAUUUUUUUAGAAUUGGCAUUUUUCUAUCAAUAGUUAUAGAAAGUCCUUAUGUGUAUCUUGCCAAUUAGAUAUCUAGUAUUCAGUUUUGAAAGUUCUAUCUUUCAAAACAAAUAGUUCUUUAAAAACUGAAUAGCAUAUAAAUUAAUAUGAUAACGACAUCAAAAUGUAAAAUUUUUGAUCCGAGUCAUUUUUUAACAAUUUGUUAAAAAAUAAAAUAGAUACCUUAAGAUACACAUCUAAAAAAUAAAUUUCAACAAUAGGAAAUAAAUUACUUUUAAAUAAAGAAGAGUUUGUAGUGGAUGCCUUGGGUCUGGAAGUCGAAGAAGGACGUGAUUACCUGCGAUAAGCCUCGUUUAGUUGGAUAUAAACUUUGAGACGGGGAUUUCCGAAUGGGGAAACCUAACUAGAUUAAUCUCUAGUUGCCCACUUUUGAAUAUAUAGAAAGUGUGAGCGAGACACCUUGUGAAUUGAAACAUCUUAGUAGCAAGAGGAAAAGAAAAUAAAUAAUGAUUCUGUUAGUAGUGGCGAGCGAAAGCAGAAGAGCCCAAACCGUAUUUAUACGGGGUUGUAGGACAGUCUACAUAGAGUUACAAAGAUUAUGUAUAGUAGAAAAAGCUGGGAAGCUUUGACAUAGAGGGUGAUAUCCCCGUAUACGAAAUGCAUAAUUCUCUUGACUGCAUCCUGAGUAGGGCGGGGCACGUGAAACCCUGUCUGAAUCUGCCGGGACCAUCCGGUAAGGCUAAAUACUAACCAGACACCGAUAGUGAACUAGUACCGUGAGGG